UACAACAUCUAAUUAAUUUAUAUUAUGGACACAAACACUAUAAUAUAAUAAUAUACAGAUUAUAAAUUAAUAACUGUCUUGUUUUAUAAUUAACAUAUUUUAUAUAUAGAUUAUAGUUAUGGAAACUAUUUGAAUUGAUAUUUUUAUAGUAAUUAUUCUUUCUUAUUCUUGUCUUUUUAACUAUAUAGAGUAAUAAUACUAGAAUUAUAUAACAUGUUUUAAUAACAUAUAAUUUUGCUUAUAAUAAUUUAAUUUUAGUUGCCCCUAAUAAAUUUAGUAGCAACUUUAUAUAACUGGUAUCAAGCAUUAUCUUAUCAGUGGUAAAGGAGCUAACUAGGACGGAACUAUCUUCACAGACAUAAAAAAUACAGACUACAGACUACAUUCGUACAGUUCUAUUCAUACAUUUUAGUAAAAAAUUCUGAUGGAUAAAUGUAUUCUUUUUAGUAAAACAUCUAAAGUAUCGCCUCGUCACAUUACGUUAAUUUUUAUUUGUAAGUAUUAUUUUCUAGUUGUACUGAUUAUAUUUCUUAAUAAUAGUCAGUCUAAUUUGCUAAUUUGUUCACAGAUAUAUAUUUCCAAAAAAUCAAUGAAAUAGAAGGAAAUAAUGGCUAAAAAUCUUCGAAUUAAAUGAUUAUCCCAAUUUAUAAUCUGCAGUAAUCAUUUCAUAAUUAGCGAUUGCAAACAAUCCUCAGUAAAUUAGUAAACAUGGUCAGAGGCUGUCUCAAAAAGUCAAAACAUAAUCCAAACCCCUUGUCUGGGAUAGAGAAGUAAAAUACAUUUUAGUAAUUUACUGCAACAUUGGUACUACUCCGAGCAUGACUAGGAAAUUGCAUCUAAGAGAAAACUUUGUUUCUCCAAAAUGAACAGACGAAUAAAGGAUUUGGAGGCCUUACAGUUGAUGAAUUUAAUUCGCCCUGAAAAGCCUUAGAUACUUAAUAAUGUAUAAUUCACACACACUUAUUUCAUACAAUGGAUUAUACUUAUUACCGUUUUCAAAACUGAAAUAUAUGAUGUACCAUAUACAAGGAACUAGCUAAUGUAUUGACAAUUUUUCAGACGUUGACUUUCUUGAAGAUAAUUCUACAGACUCAGAUGAAGCCAUACAAUAUUGGAGCGAAUCAUGAAAAUUAAAGGUGAUACAAUUUUGCUGAGCAAGAAUUCAAUUUAAAUAACGCAGAGGGCCUCAACAUAUUUAAAUUGUAAAGGAACACAUAACUAGUUUAGACAUUGGUAUCUUUUCUGAUGGGAAAGUGCAUCUAGUUGGAUGCAUUAAUCAGGUAAAGAUUGAAUGUUCCCAGUUGUUUUCAAAUACGUCCGGAAAAACAAAAAGAUAAUUAAGGAAAAAUUAUUAUAUUUUUGACAAAAAUUAAUUUUGUUUUAUAAGUGUAACUAAAAUAAAUACCUAGGUAUAGAUACAUGAUUUGUUCCCCGAAUGUUCCUAUUAUCAUUUUCUAUACACCAUACAGUUUUUAAAACAAUUUUACUCUUUUUUAACUAGUUAUGGGGAUAAUACAUUUUAAUUUUUUUCGAUAAGUAUUGUUUUUAAAAUUAAUGUCAAUAAAAAGUUCUUUGCUAUGUCAAAGAAUUUGAAAAUGUAAUACAGGGAUCCUAUUAUAGUUUCUAUAAUAUCUGUUCACAAAUAUGAGAGAUACAUAGCCACCAUUUGUCAUAAGCAUUUAAAGUUCACGUUUCGACAAAAUUCAUUAACAAUUUCCAAAUUAUCUUGUAGUUAAAAAUGUAUUAAAUGUUUAAUUGUAUAUUUAGCUUAUGCUUAUAGUAACGAUUAAUAAAAAUUGAUCAUAGUAAUAUUAGUUAUCAAAUUGAAAAAAAUAUGUAAAUUAUUAGUUUACUGGUCGUCAAACACGUUCCCAUUUACAACGAGGAAAGACAAAUUUCUUUGAAAAAUGAAUAGGUUUGCAAUUACCAAAUAGCUUCAGUGGCUUUUAUUACAAUUCCUCAA